CCGUAACUAUAACGGUCCUAAGGUAGCGAAAUUCCUUGUCGGGUAAGUUCCGACCCGCACGAAAGGCGUAAUGAUUUGAGCGCUGUCUCGACAAUGCAUCCGGUGAAAUUGAAGUACCAGUGAAGAUGCUGGUUACCUGCGCCAGGACGGAAAGACCCCAUGGAGCUUUACUCCAGUUUGGUACUGGGAUCCGGUACUGCAUGUACAGGAUAGGUGGGAGGCUAUGAAAUGGUAACGCCAGUUGCCAUGGAGCCGCUGUUGGGAUACCACCCUUGCAGUACUGGGUUUCUAACCAGCAGCCGUGACCCGGCUGGGGGACAAUGUCAGGUGGGGAGUUUGACUGGGGCGGUCGCCUCCGAAAGGGUAUCGGAGGCGCUCAAAGGUUCCCUCAGAAUGGUUGGAAACCAUUCGAAGAGUGCAAAGGCAGAAGGGAGCUUGACUGCGACACCGACGGGUGGAGCAGGUACGAAAGUAGGACUUAGUGAUCCGGUGGUAUAAAGUGGGAUUGCCAUCGCUCAACGGAUAAAAGCUACCCUGGGGAUAACAGGCUUAUCACUCCCAAGAGUUCACAUCGACGGAGUGGUUUGGCACCUCGAUGUCGGCUCAUCGCAUCCUGGGGCUGUAGUAGGUCCCAAGGGUUGGGCUGUUCGCCCAUUAAAGCGGUACGCGAGCUGGGUUCAGAACGUCGUGAGACAGUUCGGUCCCUAUCUGUCGUGGGCGCAGGAAAUUUGAGAAGAGCUGUCCUCAGUACGAGAGGACCGGGAUGGACGCAUCAAUGGUGGACCAGUUGUCACGCCAGUGGCAUAGCUGGGUAGCUAAAUGCGGAAGGGAUAAACGCUGAAGGCAUCUAAGUGUGAAACCCACUUCAAGAUGAGAUUUCCCAUUGCGCAAGCAAGUAAGACCCCUUAAAGACGAUAAGGUAGAUAGGUCAGGAGUGUAAGCAUGGUGACAUGUUAAGCGGACUGAUACUAAUAGGUCGAGGGCUUGACCG
rnacentral:rRNA from 1 species